rnacentral:rRNA from 1 species
GACGGAGGAUGCAAGCGUUAUCCGGAAUGAUUGGGCGUAAAGCGUCUGCAGGUGGCAGUUCAAGUCUGCUGUCAAAGACCGGGGCUUAACUUCGGAAAGGCAGUGGAAACUGAACAGCUAGAGUAUGGUAGGGGCAGAGGGAAUUCCUGGUGUAGCGGUGAAAUGCGUAGAGAUCAGGAAUAACAUCGGUGGCGAAGGCGCUCUGCUGGACCAUAACUGACACUCAGGGACGAAAGCUAGGGGAGCGAAUGGG